UUUGAAUGAUGUGUUGGGAUACACGAGCGGCGGACGGCUGAGUAACACGUAGGAACGUACCCCAAAGUGAGGGAUAAGCACCAGAAAUGGUGUCUAAUACCGCAUGUGCUCUUCGGAGGAAAGCUUCGGCGCUUUGGGAACGGCCUGCGCAUGAUUAGCUUGUUGGUGAGGUAAUGGCUCACCAAGGCGAUGAUCAUUAGCUGGUCUGAGAGGAUGAUCAGCCAGACUGGAACUGAGAACGGUCCAGACUCC
rnacentral:rRNA from 1 species